ensembl:lncRNA
CUCACAUUGAGAGCAGAACACUGAGAUGGUCUGAGGAGAACGGGGCCGAGGGGAAGCCCUGGAGAACGCAGUCCGUCUUCUCUUCAGAGCUGCGGGGGAGAUUUCACAUCCGUAAACAGUAGCAUGCUAGCUAGCAUUAGCCUCAACGGCUAGGGAGCAGGCCGGGGUUGGUUCUUUCUUUCUUUUGGUCCCGUUUAGAAAGUAUUGACGUUGUUAUCCAGAUCUAAAAUUAUCAGUUACGUGUGAGAUGAUGAGGUCCGGUUGAAGAUUCGUUCACUUUAACCGGUGCUAAUCAGCCACAGAGAAAGAUGCUGAGCAACAUUCGUCGACACAAAUCACGACGAGGUGUCAUCCCCACCGAAAGCACCCAAUUGACCCUUUGUUGACCCUCCGGGGUCACCGAGAAACACAAGCUGUCUCCAGUCAGAGUCCCCGUCUGUGUUAUUUCUCAAAAAGUCUGGAAAUCCAUAUCUAUGAUUAUCUGUGUUCUCAACUGCUCCUAAGAUUAAAAUAUUGCUUGUGUCAAAUCCUAUUAUGCAUAUGUGGGAGAUAUAAAAGUCUCUCACUAUGAAAAACCCACCUACCAGAACCUCCAGCCAGCCGGGAUCAGGACAGGAGGAGGAGGAGUCCUGGAGGGGGAG